UUAUUGGUUCCCAUAUUAUAUUGGAGAACUGUGUCGUCUAAGCGUUAAUAAGAAUGAAUAUUGGCAAUUCUUGGCUGCUAAUUUCAUGCAUGUUCAUCGUUGGCAUCCUACUUUCACAUGAUACUCACAUGAUAGCGGCGACUGAAGGUGUUUCUGGUUCUUCCUUUGAUGGAAUUCCUUCGCAUGACUUUCCAUCUAAGUUCAAUGUUAUGCCCAAGAGGAGAGCACUAAAGCCUGACCCACCACCGUCUCCGCCGCCUCGUUUUAAUCCUCCUCCUCACCAAAGAUUUCUGUCUGCACCACGAUCACCAUUGUCACCACCUAUUUCAACCUAGGUUGUAAUUCUAACCUGUCGAAGCCAAACUAUAAGGAACAUGUCAUUGUUUGCCUGAUGUAGAUGGUCAUGUUAUGGAACUUUUAUUUUGAGUUUGGUUUUCCUUUUUUUGGGCUCAUAUAAUAAUGAACUUUUUUAUUUUAAGUUUGUGACUUUGAAGUGGUCGUUGAAGCCACUAGAGAAAACUUGUGCUGUAACUUUGAAAACUUAAAAGUAAUGUCAGCUUCAGCUGAUCAUGUUGCUGUAUUGUUUCAAUAUAAUUUGUUGUCCUGCUAUAGCAAAGGUUUCCUGCUUUUUUGGAUGAUAAAAUUCUAGUAAGAAAAGAAAUAUAUUGUGAUGCAAUAUCACUUGUG
rnacentral:lncRNA from 1 species